UUUUUGCCUAGGCCUCUGGAAUUUUAAUGGGAGGGGCUACUGUGAAGACUUCUGAUGUGCUCUGGAGACAUUGCUUCCAUUGUCUUGUUGAACAGCCACCAGCACAGCCACCAGCUGACCAGCAGUGACCUCUGGACUGAAGUUGUUUUGAAGAUAACAAUGGAAUAUGAAUUGCAAGAGAGAAACUCCAUUGUAACCUUUUCUAAAGACAACUCCGUUUUCAAUUUGGUCUCAACAUGAUGCUACAAGAGUGGUCAUGUUGGGAAAAAGCCCCGACUAUCUCAGCAACUCAAAUUCCUUGACAUAAACCGUCUGGUGGAAGGACAACCUCCAGUGAUGCUUGGUUUCCAAACAAACUUUCCAUUGUUCUGAAUAAGGAAACUUGAAGCAUCUACUAGCAUUUUCCAUCUAUUAUCUCCUAGAAUCAGUGCCCACAGCUUUCCCUUAGGUAUUCCUAGGACUAGAUUUAGAAACUUCUCCUGGUUUGGCUAUCUCUCCUGUGUACUGUCAGUGCAAUAAUUUUAAUGGGUAUAAACACACCUGGAGGCCAACAGAGCCUCUCCCAAUUCCCUGUUCCUCUUUGGCUGUCUGCCCAAGGAGCUGACAAUGAUGACCUCAAACAUAGUGUGACACUUGACUUCACCUUUUUUUUUCUUUUUAAUUAUCUGAAGAAAUGUCUGUUUAUCUCUAAACACAUUGUGUUUUCAUAGCCUCAUCAUUUGGAACACCUGGUUAACUGUUACAAAAUCCAUAAUGUAAGUUACAAGUGGGUAUUUGGCUAUGAGCUAAGUCUGUUUUCUUUCCUUUCUUUCAUUCUUUUUUUCCUUUCUUUCUCACAUAUUUGUUUAGGACUUAUUGUGUGCUAAGGAUAGCCAUCAGUAUUUGUGACAGAGAAAUGGUUACAUAAGAUCCUGCCUUUGAACUUAUGGUUAAGAAAGAGGAGAAAUGUGAAAAGACAAUAUUGAACAAUAUUAUAUUUGCUGUAACAGCAAUAUCAAUACGGGCUUGUGGGAAGACAAGCUCUCCCUGGUAAAAACCUUCAGAGGGAAGUUUGCAUUUGAGUUGGCCGUGAGCAUGGCCUGGCUUUGACUUGCUUCCCCAGUUGAUUAGCAGAGUUCAGGAGCUGCCCCGAAGGAUCCUCAAACUUAAAGUCCAUCUCCAGGAAACAUAUUACUUUCCUAGAACCUAAUACCAAAGUUUGACAUCUCUUUGUAGAGAAAUUAAUAGUAAUUUUCUUUCCAGCAAUAUGACUUGUCUUUAUGCAAAUGAUCAAAAUCUUGAAGGGAUGCCUUAUCCAAUUUAAAGACAAAAGUCAGUAUGUCUUGAGAGUGUCCUGUAAAUGACAUUUGAAAAAAAGUAAAACCCAUAUUACUAUGUUUCUUAUAUGUCAUGCUAAGCAAUUUGAAAUUUCUGCUUUAAAAAGUAUUUAAGUCCAACAGAAGUUUUUAGUCAGGUUUUCAGUUCUUCCUUUACUAAUGAAUGGCAAAUAUCAAAACUUGUUUUGUCAAGAAUUGGUAAUUUCAGCAGAUGCCUGGCACAAAAUAGGAGCUUAAUAUACAUAUUUUUGAAUUAAUAAGCAAUCACAUAAUAUUUAUGUACCAACUCUGGUUAGCCAGAUAUGUGCUGUGUGUUUCAUCUUUUGUUUCAUAUAAAUUUGAUUUCUGCACUGCCCUAAAUCAAGAUUCCUAAAAUCAUUUUUUUAAUAUCUCACAACACAAGUAAUAUGAAUCUUAUCCUUCAAGCUUAGUAAAUGUUAUUUUAUACUGCUACUACUAAUAAAUAUCUAAAAUAUAUAUUGUGCUUUAUUAUUUUCAAAAUAUUUUAAUCCUCUUUAUCUCAUCUUAUCCCUACAUUGAUUUUAUGGAAUUCCUAUUACUAUUUUACUAGAGAGAACUCUGAGUUAAAAUAUGUGUUAAAGCAAGUCAUACAGCUAGUCAUUGGCUGAGACAGGAC
rnacentral:lncRNA from 1 species